rnacentral:rRNA from 1 species
CCUACGGGAGGCAGCAGUGAGGAAUAUUGGUCAAUGGGCGAGAGCCUGAACCAGCCAAGUCGCGUGAAGGAUGAAGGAUCUAUGGUUUGUAAACUUCUUUUAUAUGGGAAUAAAGUGAGGAACGUGUUCCUUUUUGUAUGUACCAUAUGAAUAAGCAUCGGCUAACUCCGUGCCAGCAGCCGCGGUAAUACGGAGGAUGCGAGCGUUAUCCGGAUUUAUUGGGUUUAAAGGGUGCGUAGGUGGUUAAUUAAGUCAGCGGUGAAAGUUUGUGGCUCAACCAUAAAAUUGCCGUUGAAACUGGUUGUCUUGAUUAUAUUUGAGGUAGGCGGAAUGCGUUGUGUAGCGGUGAAAUGCAUCGAUAUCACGCAGAACUCCGAUUGCGCAGGCAGCUUACUAAACUAUACCUGACACUGACGCACGAAAGCGUGGGGAUCAAACAGGAUUAGAUACCCGGGUAGUC